GGCGCCUAGGCAAGUGCAACAUGACAGCCACCCCAGGACCCGCGCUGCUGCCCUCCAACUCCACGGGCAGCCCACAGCAAAAUUUCAUGUGUUCCUUGUAUACAAGCUAUCAGGCCUCUGAGCCCAAGCCUGCAAGUACACAUCCAGAUGGCCUGAAGCAACUAAAGAACCACAAAAGAAGUGAAAAUAAUUCCUGCCUUAACUGAUGACAUUCCACCAUUGUGAUUUAUUCCUGCCCCACCCUAACUGGUCAAUUGACCUUGUGAAAUUCCUUCUCCUGGACAAUGAGUCUCACAACCUCCCCACUAAGCACCUUGUAACCCCCAUCUCUGCCUGCAAGAGAAAAACUCCCCUUGACUGUAAUUUUCCACUACUUGCCCUAAUCCUAUAAAACUGCCCCACUCCUAUCUCCCUUUGCUGACUCCUUUUUCGGACUCAGUCUGCCUGCACCCAUGUGAUUAAAAAGCUUUAUUGCUCACACAAAGCCUGUUUGGUUAUCUCUUCACACAGACAUGCGUGACAUUUGGUGCUGAAGACCCGGGAUGGGGGACUCCUUCGGGAGACUGGUCCCCUGUCCUCACCCUCACUCCAUGAGGAGAUCCACCUACAACCUCGGGUCCUCAGUCCAACCAGCCUAAGGAACAUCUCACCAAUUUCAAAUCAGAUCUUGGCUUAGUGGCUGAAGACUGAUGCUGCCCAAUUACCUCGGAAGCCUCCUGGACCAUCACAGAUACUUUGAGUAAUCUCUUAUAGUGGAAGGAUGCAAAGUUGGAAUAAGAGCAAUGACCACCUCUCCUGAGAGACCUGUUUGUUCCCACAUCUGUACUCUUCAGUCAACAGAACCUGAUGCAAAGAACAGAAAAGGGGAAGAUGUGGGGGAUUCAGUCAGGAUGGUGGGAGAAAUUGUAAAAUUAUAGGAAAUAAUCACAAACACUUGUGGAAGGCCUGGGGGUUUGCAUAAAAUGUUGGGCUGAAGGCAGCUGAAUUCUCUUAAAAGCUUAGGGCAUAGAUACACAGAAAUGUAGUUUAUCUAAAUGACUUGUUUACUUAUGUGGUCCUAAAACUAACCUUUGAUAGUUUAUGGGCAGGAUAGCUCUCUCAGGGUAGGGGGAGGGCAACCAGAUUGAUUACCCACUGAUGGUGUUGACUCAAAGCCUUCGUCAUUUAAUAUGUGCUGAAUAAAUGCCAGCAGGGCCAGUGAGUCAGGGCCACAGCUGCAACUCUUUACAGCACUCUCCUUUGAGUCUGUAAGUGGCCUAGACCCUCAGCCGGUCUGACAAGCAUAAUAUCUGUGUUAGUGUACAUUAUUCAUCCAUCGUUGGGUCAGGGUCUGCAGGACAGACCCCUAGAAAAAUAAAAUAAAAUUAAAAAUAGCCGGGUGUGGUUACACACACCUGUAAUCCCACCUACCUGGGAGGCUGAGAUAGAAUCGCUUGAACACAGGAGGCAGAAUUUGCAGUGAGCCGAGAUCAUGCCACUGCA
rnacentral:lncRNA from 10 species